CCUGGCUCAGAUUGAACGCUGGCGGCAUGCCUAACACAUGCAAGUCGAACGGCAGCACGACCUGGUUUACCAGGUGGGUGGCGAGUGGCGGACGGGUGAGUAAUGCGCAGGAAUAUACCUUAAAGAGGGGGAUAACUUGGGGAAACUCAAGCUAAUACCGCAUAAUCUCUGAGGAGAGAAGCUGGGGACCUUCGGGCCUGGCGCUUUAAGAUUAGCCU
rnacentral:rRNA from 1 species